GACGAACGCUGGCGGCGUGCCUAACACAUGCAAGUCGAACGGGGUGAUUCCUUCGGGGAUCACUUAGUGGCGAACGGGUGAGUAACGCGUGAGGAACCUGCCUUUCAGAGGGGGACAACAGUUGGAAACGACUGCUAAUACCGCAUGACACAUUCGGAUGGCAUCACCUGAAUGUCAAAGAUUUUAUCGCUGAAAGAUGGCCUCGCGUCUGAUUAGCUAGUUGGUAGGGUAACGGCCUACCAAGGCAACGAUCAGUAGCCGGACUGAGAGGUUGACCGGCCACAUUGGGACUGAGAUACGGCCCAGACUCCUACGGGAGGCAGCAGUGGGGAAUAUUGCACAAUGGGCGCAAGCCUGAUGCAGCGAUGCCGCGUGAGGGAAGAAGGUUUUCGGAUUGUAAACCUCUGUCAUCGGGGACGAUAAUGACGGUACCCGAGAAGGAAGCUCCGGCUAACUACGUG
rnacentral:rRNA from 1 species